rnacentral:rRNA from 1 species
UGCCAGCCGCCGCGGUAAUACGGAGGGUCCGAGCGUUAUCCGGAAUCAUUGGGCGUAAAGCGCGCGUAGGUGGUUUGUUAAGUUGGAUGUGAAAGCCCUGGGCUCAACCUAGGAACUGCAUCCAAAACUAACUCACUAGAGUACGAUAGAGGGAGGUAGAAUUCAUAGUGUAGCGGUGGAAUGCGUAGAUAUUAUGAAGAAUACCAGUGGCGAAGGCGGCCUCCUGGAUCUGUACUGACACUGAGGUGCGAAAGCGUGGGUAGCGAACAGGAUUAGAUA